GGAUAACCUACCCUUAGGACUGGGAUAACCCUGGGAAACUGGGGAUAAUACUGGAUAGGCAAUUAUUCCUGUAAUGGUUUUUUGUUUAAAUGUUUUUUCGCCUAAGGAUGGGUCUGCGGCCGAUUAGGUAGUUGGUUAGGUAAUGGCUUACCAAGCCUUUGAUCGGUACGGGUUGUGAGAGCAAGAGCCCGGAGAUGGAACCUGAGACAAGGUUCCAGGCCCUACGGGGUGCAGCAGGCGCGAAACCUCCGCAAUGUGAGAAAUCGCGACGGGGGGAUCCCAAGUGCCAUUCUUAACGGGAUGGCUUUUCAUUAGUGUAAAGAGCUUUUGGAAUAAGAGCUGGGCAAGACCGGUGCCAGCCGCCGCGGUAACACCGGCAGCUCUAGUGGUAGCAGUUUUUAUUGGGCCUAAAGCGUCCGUAGCCGGUUUAAUAAGUCUCUGGUGAAAUCCUGUAGCUUAACUAUGGGAAUUGCUGGAGAUACUAUUGGACUUGAGACCGGGAGAGGUUAGAGGUACUCCCAGGGUAGAGGUGAAAUUCUGUAAUCCUGGGAGGACCGCCUGUUGCGAAGGCGUCUGACUGGAACGGUUCUGACGGUGAGGGACGAAAGUUAGGGGCGCGAACCGGAUUAGAUACCCGGGUAGUCCUAACUGUAAACGAUGCGGACUUGGUGUUGGGGUGGCUUUGAGCUGCUUCAGUGCCGAAGGGAAGCUGUUAAGUCCGCCGCCUGGGAAGUACGGUCGCAAGACUGAAACUUAA
rnacentral:rRNA from 1 species